rnacentral:ncRNA from 1 species
AGUAUUUCAUUGAUGUAAAAAGUUAGCUUUACCAAUUAAACUACAUAUGGCAGCUUAUACGCAUUGUGAAAUGAACUAAUCUUAGCUAGUUUUCAAAAAACUAGCUCAAGAAUACUUCAAUGAAGUUAUAUCCCUAACUUUUAAACUUGUCACAACACCAAUGUCCUAUAUUAUACCAGCUAGGAAACUAGGCCAUAGAAAAUAAGUUAAAGGGGUGGCAAAAAAUGGUGCCAGCAGUCGCGGUUAUACCAAUACCCCAAGUUAAUUUUAACAAACUGGAAUAAUUUCUAAACUACAGACUACAAAAUUAACUUUUAGCGUAAAAAACAAAUUAUAACUAAACCUUACCUAGUCGUAAUAAAUUACUCCAACAAACCAUAACCUCAGAACUCGGAUUAGAUACCCGACUACUGUAUGGCUCAACAUAAAAAAGAAUACUACGAGCGAAAGCUUAAACCUCAAACAAUGUGGCGGUGCUUUACUCCUCAUCAGGGGAUCCUGUGGCUUAAUUCGAUAAUCCACGAAAAUCUUAGCUACUCUAGUUCCACAGCUUGUGUAUGGCCGUUUAUGCUUGCUCAUAGAAGAAAAAAAAGGAAGCAAUAGGGUUAACCACCCAAAAAUUCAGGUGACAUAUAGCCAAUGAGCAGCAGCUUCAUGGGAUACAAAUAAAUACACUAACAAAUUUAAAGCUUUAAUCUUUAAUGAAGGAGGACUUGAAAGUAAGGUUUUAUCCAUUCCAUAAAAUAAAUCUGAAUAAGAACUAAAGCGCGCACAAAUCGCCCGUCACUCCGACAACAAAGUAGGAUAAGUCGUAACAUAGUAGGGGUAAUGGAAAUUGCCCCU